rnacentral:rRNA from 1 species
UACGGGGGGUGCAAACGUUGCUCGGAAUCAUUGGGCGUAAAGCGCGUGUAGGCGGCUUUGCAAGUCGGGUGUGAAAGCCCUCAGCUCAACUGAGGAAGUGCGCCCGAAACUGCAGAGCUUGAGUACCGGAGAGGAUGGUGGAAUUCCCCAAGUAGAGGUGAAAUUCGUAGAUAUGGGGAGGAACACCGGUGGCGAAGGCGACCAUCUGGACGGAUACUGACGCUGAGACGCGAAAGCGUGGGUAGCAAACAGG